rnacentral:rRNA from 1 species
AUUGAACGCUGGCGGAAUGCUUUACACAUGCAAGUCGAACGGUAGAGGGGGCAACGCCUCGAGAGUGGCGAACGGGUGAGUAAUAUAUCGGAACGUGCCCAGUCGUGGGGGAUAACGUACCGAAAGUUACGCUAAUACCGCAUACGCUCUAAGGAUGAAAGCGGGGGUUCGAAAGUCUCCGCGGGAUUGGAGCGGCCGAUAGCAGUUUAGGUAGUUCGGGGGGUAAAUGCCCACCAAGCCAACGAUCUGUAGCUGGUCUGGGAGGACCACAAGCCACACUGGAACUGAGACACGGCCCAGACUCCUACGGGAGGCAGCAGUGGGGAAUUUUGGACAAGGGACGCAAGUCUGAUCCAGCCAUUCCGCGUGCAGGAUGAAGGCCCUCGGGUUGUACACUGCUUUUGUACGGAACGAAAAGGUCUCUCUUAAUACGGGGGACUCAUGACGGUACCGUAAGAAUAAGCACCGGCUAACUACGUGCCAGCAGCCGCCGUAA